AGCAAUUUCACUUGUUUUCAGUAAUUCGAAACUAAGUGACCUUUAAUUUAGUCAACAACAACAACAUGCUGAGUGAGAAGUAAACACAUGUACUUCCUGCUUGAAGCAGCCGGCAUUUGACAGAUUUCAACGGUUGUGACUGAAGGCCUUGUUUUGAGGGUGUUUUGCAAACCAGUGGUUGUCGGCCUGGGAAUUUUCAAGAAAAACUGUAGACUGCCCCCUUAAGUAAUUCGAAACUAAGUGACCUUUAAUUUAGUCAACAACAACAACAUGCUGAGUGAGAAGUAAACACAUGUACUUCCUGCUUGAAGCAGCCGGCAUUUGACAGAUUUCAACGGU